rnacentral:misc_RNA from 1 species
UCCGACUUGGAGCCGGCAGUCUCUUAUGAAAUAUGCAACAUAAGACAUGGGUUGCGCUCGUUUACGGACUUAACCGAACACCUCAAGGCACGAGCUGACGACGACCAUGCAGCACCUGUCAUCCGGUUCCUUACGGCACCUUCAAAUUUCUUCGAAGUUCCGGAGAUGUCAAGCCUUGGUAAGGUUUCCCGUUUAUUGUCGAAUUAAACCACAUGCUCCACCGCUUGUGUGGGUCCCCGUCUAUUCCUUUGAGUUUUAAUCUUGCGACCGUACUCCCCAGGCGGGAUACUUAACGCGUUAGCUUAGACACAAAGAGGGGUCGAUUCCUCCCUACAUCGAGUAUCCAUCGUUUACGGCGUGGACUAC